rnacentral:rRNA from 1 species
GAAGUCCACUGAACCUUAUCAUUUAGAGGAAGGAGAAGUUGUAAUAAGGUCUCCGUAGGUGAACCUGCGGAAGGAUCAUUGUCAAAAAUUGCUAAACAGAGUGACCCGUGGAUAUGUUGGAAUAAGUCAUUGGGGGUGCGGUGCCUAAUAUGGCACAGCACCCACAAUUGCGACCGAGCCCGUGCCUUAAAGUCUACCCCAGGAAUGGCAAUGAGCAAGCAGUGUUUGGCUUGGCACAAGAAAAAACCCCAGCUUGGAUCACUCCAAGAAAUAGUAACAGAGCAUGCGUUGCCUUACCGCUAGAUGCCCGGUUAGUGAGGUGGCGACCUGUCGUAUUUGAAUGACUCUUGGCAACAGAUAUCUUGGCUCUCGCAUCGAUGAAGUACGUAGCAAAAUGCAAUACUUGGUGUGAAUUGUAGAAUCCCAUGAACCAUCGAGUUUUUGAACUCAAGUUGCGUCCGAAGCCUCUAGGCUGAGAGCAGGUCUGCCUGGGUGUCACGCAUAGCCACACCCCCAACCAAGCCAUUGUGUCUCUACAUGCUAGGUUGGGGUGAGGAGUGGCCUCCUGUGUGUUGUUGUGUGGUUGGCCUAAAAGUUGAGCUCACGACUACGCCACGAUGUUCAGUGGUCGGCAAGGUGAAGGCAAAUGUUGCAUCGCGUAGCGCAAAACAUGUCGCCCGUGGAUCUCGCAUGACCCCGCUGCAUCGACCGUACGACACCAAUGCAGCGACCCGUCAUCUGGAGGGGCUACCUGCUGAGCUUAAUCAUAUCAAUAAGUAGAGGAAAAGAAACUUAGAAGGAUUUCCCAAGUAAUGACGAGCAAACUAAGAAGUACCCAGCUAUAGAAUCGGGCGGCUUUGUCGCCUGAAUUGUAGUCUGGAGAAGCG